rnacentral:lncRNA from 1 species
GGGCUGAGGGUGUGGUCAGAGUGGCCGGGUCAGCUCAGGUUCGAAGGGCGUGGCUCUGGGUGCGGGGCGUGGCCAGGACUUGCAAACUGACUCGAGGAGAUCCUUAGUUCCAGAGCCACAACUGACCUGCACCUGACAGUUCUUGGGGACCUGGAGACCGUUGACCAGGCUGAGGGCUGACACAGAGCACCUCGGAAGUGAGAAGUGCCCUGUUCCAGGGUCAUGUGGCCACCGCUGCUGCUGCUGUUUCUGCUGCUUCCUGCUGCCCAUGGCGCCCCCCACCCGGCUGCGGACCUCCAGGAAAACUUUCCAAGCGUACUCGAAGAAAUCCAAACUGAAGGAGACAGAGGCAUGUGGAGAGAAGACAACCCGUUCGCUGGCUCCCGCUGUCCUCCUGGCUCAUGAGGUGGCUUCUAUGUGGUCCAGAAGCUGGGGGCGAGGACCUGUAGCCUCAUGAAGGCCUGCCAGGCACAGGAUCCGGAGCUCCACACUCCUCCCAAAAUCCCUGGUCUCCUCCGGGGGCCCUUCAGCUGCUGAAGGGGCUGGGGUGGACACCAUUAUCCUAGCAGGGGACAUAUGUGGAACUCACCAGACCCACCUGCAGCACCAUUUCAAAAUAAAAGUAAAAUUUCAAGCUU